GAAACACUCCAACGCAAAAGCAGUGAAACUCUCAAAUAUAAGGGAAGAGAAUGUUUAUGUCGUUGAGUCAGAUGGUUGAAGAGAUGGCUAAUAUGCACCAAUCUUUCAAUGAAGAAAGAAUGAAGAUGCAGCUGGUUGAAAGUGAUCAUUAUAGCGGAAUUGUGGAAGAGGUGAAAAAUCUGACAGAUGAAGUGGAGGGUAAGAAGAGGAAACUUGAAUGCUGGAGCAAAGAAUUAGACGAACGUCAAGCAUUAAUUGAAUUUGACAGACAAAAACUUGAUGAAGAGAAGAAAAUCAAGAAAAUGAAUGAUGAAAGAAACGGUUCUCUUUUGUUGGCAUCGCUGGAGCAGUUUCAAAAGGCUCUAGAGAAUAUGUCAAGGCUAGUUGAAAAGCAAAAGAAUGAUGUGAGAAACAAUUCACCUCAGUUGGCAUCCGUGGAGCAGAAAAAGGCUGAUGAGAAUGUCUUAAGGAUGGUUGAAGAGCAAAAGAGGGAGAAAGAAGCGGCUCUACAUAAGAUACUUCAGUUGGAAAAGGAGUUGGAUGCCAAACAGAAGUUGGAAUUGGAAAUUAAAAAGUUAAAAGCGAAAAUUCAGAUGAUGAAGCAUCUCGGUAAUGCUAAUAAUACAGCUCUUCAAAUGAAGUUGGAGGUGAUGACUGCUGAACUGGGGCAGAAAGAUGAAGAUUUGGCUUAUGUGGAAUCUCUGAAUCAAACUCUUAUCAUGAAAGAGCGUCAGAUCAAUGAUGAGCUACAAGAAGGGCGUAAAGAAUUAAUUCAGGUUUUAAAAGAUACGUUGUCCUCAACUGUUAGGACUACUAUUGGAAUAAAGAGAAUGGGAGAAAUUGAUGAAAAGCCAUUCCUUAAUACAUUCAAGCAAAGAUUUCCACCUGAGGAAGCUCAGCUUCAGGCCAGUACUCAAUGCAGCUUGUGGCAGCAGUAUUUGAAUAAUGCAGAGUGGCAUCCAUUCAAAAUCAUCAAUAAUGCUGAAGGGAAUUCUCAGGAAAUAGUAGAUGACGAAGAUGAGAGGCUACAAAAUCUCAAGCUGGAGUGGGGGGACGACAUAUACAUGGCAGUUGUUACUGCUUUGAAAGAGUUAAAUGAGUAUAAUCCAAGCGGGAGAUAUGUGAUUCCUGAGCUCUGGAAUUUCAAAGAAGAAAGGAAAGCCACGUUGAAGGAGGUGAUUGGUUAUAUUGUGAAGAAUAUCAAGACCCUUAAGCGCAAGAGAUGAAGAGAAGUUGACUGCUAAGGUCAGAACAAUCAAUACUCUGAGUAUUUCACAUUGAUACAAAAGGACUGCUGGUAUUGAUAUAAUAAAUUAACUAAUGCGUCUGUUGGAAUUGAAAUGAACUAAUGAAACACAGCAUGAAUGCUGUGAGUAUUUUCAUUCUUGUUUAAAUUUAUUCUACUUGUGCAUUAACUUGAACCUGUAUGCUAGGGGUGCCUCUGGAAGAAAUGGAAGGUCUUUUACAGCAAAGAGGUUUCUUAAGAGUUAGAUUUUUUUUGGCUAGUCGCUCCAUCAAGAUUAUGCAUGCCAAAGAAUAAAGUUGCUAGAAUUGUAUUCGUGUUCCCUUAUGAAUUGUGAACCUAAUUUUGAGUACAAAAAUCUAUUUAAAUUUCUGAAUAUCUUUCAGAUUGCAAAUUUCUUUGGCUCCCCUUGCUAUUGUUGUUCUCUUUACUACAAGUGGAUUUGAUUUGAUUUGAUUUGAUU
rnacentral:misc_RNA from 1 species